rnacentral:rRNA from 12 species
CAGCAGCCGCGGUAAUUCCAGCUCCAAUAGCGUAUACUAAAGUUGUUGCAGUUAAAAAGCUCGUAGUUGAAUUUCUGGUCUCGGACUUCGGUCUGCCUCAAACGAGGUAUGUACCAGUUGUCUGAAACCAUCCUCGGGGAAAACGUGUCUGUCAUUUAGUUGAUGGGCUCGGGAUCCUCGUCAUUUACUGUGAGCAAAAUAGAGUGUUCAAAGCAGGCUUAUGCCGUUGAAUACAUUAGCAUGGAAUAAUAAGAUAAGACCUUGGUCUAUUUUGUUGGUUUGUACUCCAAGGUAAUGAUUAAUAGGGAUAGUUGGGGGUAUUCGUAUUCAAUUGUCAGAGGUGAAAUUCUUGGAUUUAUGGAAGACGAACUACUGCGAAAGCAUUUACCAAGGAUGUUUUCAUUAAUCAAGAACGAAAGUUAGGGGAUCGAAGAUGAUUAGAUACCAUCGUAGUCUUAACCAUAAACUAUGCCGACUAGGGAUUGGUGGACGUUUGUAACGACUCCAUCAGCACCUUAUGAGAAAUCAAAGUCUUUGGGUUCCGGGGGGAGUAUGGUCGCAA